rnacentral:hammerhead_ribozyme from 1 species
AUCCAUCUGACGAGUUCCAAAUAAGACGAAAUGCGCAUUUUGGAU